CACUAAAAUAGGUCAAUAUUUUCUUUGCGUACGAUUAUCUGAGCGGAGGCGAAGGAAACCCUAGGAUUUGCAGCCACCGCAGAGUUCAAGAGAUGGCCAAGUCGAAGAAUCACACGGCACACAAUCAGUCCCGCAAAGCCCAUAGGAAUGGCAUCAAGAAACCAAGGAAGCACCGCCACACCUCCACCAAAGGAAUGGACCCGAAGUUUCUUAGGAACCAGAGGUACGCGAAGAAACACAACAACAAGAGUGGCGAAACAGCUUCUGAGGAAUAGUAAAGUAGAACGCCAAGAUGCGGCAAGUUCAGGGUUUUUAUGAUAUAAGUUUGAUUUUCUAUUGAACCUCUUGUUUAUCUGUUGUUUUUGUUUAGUAGCAGUCUUGUAAUUUUGACUUUGUUGUAGCGAGCUCCAUUUUGAUGAGGCUUCUACGGCCUGGUUACGACAACACACUAUCAGUUUUUCUUUUUUUUUAAGGUCUUGACUAUUGCUUACAUCUUCAUACACAA